UACGUAGGGUGCAAGCGUUUGUCCGGAAUUAUUGGGCGUAAAGAGCUCGUAGGCGGUCUGUUGCGUCGGCUGUGAAAACCCGGGGCUCAACUCCGGGCCUGCAGCCGAUACGGGCAGACUAGAGUUCGGCAGGGGAGACUGGAAUUCCGGGUGUAGCGGUGGAAUGCGUAGAGAUCCGGAAGAACACCGGUGGCGAAGGCGGCCUGCUGGGCAGUUUAGCUGACACUGAGGCGCGACAGCGUGGGGAGCAAACAGG
rnacentral:rRNA from 1 species